CACCACCCGUCGCUACUACCGAUUGAAUGGUUUAAUAAGGUCAUUGGAUUGUUGUCGUUGUAGUGGUUUUGCUGCUUGACUGAUGCUGAGAAGAUGACUUCAUUUGACUAUUUAGAGAAAUUAAAGGUCGUAACAAGGUUUCCGUAGGUGAACCUGCGGAAG
rnacentral:ncRNA from 1 species